CCACAUCAUAUUUUCUUUUGGUCGAAUAAGCUAUGUACGUUUGGUUAACAGGUUCUUCUACCCUGCGCCGUUCCCUUGGCCUCACCGAUUCAGCGCGCCCCUCCCUCCUGGAGCCAUUUUCUUGUCGCCCGCCGUCUGAAACUCCCACAUCCAGGCCUCGUCCAAGGAGAAAGACCGUCAUCUAAAGUAAUGGCCGCCAAGAUAUGCAUAGCCAUUCGAUCAUUUGGUCGCCCAUUGACGGAAAACAUCAACUGGGGACUUCCACCUUACACAAGGAAGAUUGCACUGCCGGAAUCAAGAGUCUUGUACACUGUGUUACGAUCACCUCAUGUUGAUAAAAAGUCCAGAGAACAGUUUGAAAUGAAUGUCAAGAAACAGUUUCUGGUCAUAAACACAGAAACACAUGAGUUGCAAAAGAAGUUCUUUUGGUUAAAGCGCCAGCGCAUAUUUGGAGCCCAAUACGAACUCCGAUUUUCUUGCAAGACACGUUUGGACAAGGAAAAACUCCAGAGAUUGCUUUGAAGUAAGAUCCGUGCAUUGACCCCAACUGCUGGAUGGUUCUGGUUUUGUUUUGAUAGGAAGAGGAGAUGAAAAAAAAGGUGCACUUCAAAUGUUAACGAAGAUUGGUUGAUCUCUAAUAAGUUCUGUACGCUUAUGUUUUGGUUUUAGCAGAUAGGAUGACAAUUCGGAAUCGCUUUUGGUUACAGUAGAAUUUGUUUACUUGUUAUUGUGCAAUGAUUCAACACUUUAUAUUUCAGCUUGGGUUUGGAUGUUUCACAGACUAUUUUGCUUUUUAUCAACAAAUAAUCGCAUCAUUCUCUAA